GUUUCCCUGCCUGGUUCGCGAUGGUCAUAAAUUCCUUGAACCAAUGCUUACUCAGCACAGGUCGCGGGACAUUGAAAUGCGGGCGUGAGCGUCACUCUGUCUGACGAACCCGAAGCGUUUCUUACUGCGGCCGAUCUUGAACUCCGGUUCAGGAUGCCGGCCAAGCGGCUAAGGCGGGGAUCUU
rnacentral:other from 1 species